CGGUGGAGUAUGUGGUUUAAUUCGAUGCAACGCGAAGAACUUACCUGGUCUUGACAUCCCGGAGACCCUUAGGAAACUAGGGGUGCUUCCAUCUGGAAGAAUCUGGAGACAGGUGCUGCAUGGCUGUCGUCAGCUCGUGUCGUGAGAUGUUGGGUUAAGUCCCGCAACGAGCGCAACCCUUGCCUUUAGUUGCCAGCAGUUCGGCUGGGCACUCUAAAGGGACUGCCGGUGUUAAACCGGAGGAAGGUGGGGAUGACGUCAAGUCCUCAUGGCCUUUAUGACCAGGGCUACACACGUACUACAAUGGCCGAUACAAAGGGCAGCGACACUGCGAGGUGAAGCCAAUCCCGUAAAAUCGGUCUCAGUCCGGAUUGGAGUCCGCAACUCGACUCCAUGAAGUUGGAAUCGCUAGUAAUCGUGGAUCAGCAUGCCACGGUGAAUACGUUCCCGGGCCUU
rnacentral:rRNA from 1 species